UACAGAGGGUGCAAGCGUUAAUCGGAUUUACUGGGCGUAAAGCGUGCGUAGGCGGUUCAUUAAGUCGGUUGUGAAAUCCCUGGGCUUAACCUGGGAGCUGCAGUCGAUACUGAUGGACUAGAGUACGGUAGAGGGUGGCGGAACUCCGGGUGUAGCGGUGAAAUGCGUAGAUAUCCGGAAGAACACCGAUGGCGAAGGCGACCACCUGGGCCUGUACUGACGCUGAGGUACGAAAGCGUGGGGAGCAAACAGG
rnacentral:rRNA from 1 species